CAGAGGCUAUUGCUAUYWGGSUUUGACUAAGCCAUGCGAGUCGAGAGGUGAAAGACCUCGGCAUACUGCUCAGUAACACGUGGAUAAUCUGCCCUCAGGUGAGGAAUAAUCCCGGGAAACUGGGGCUAAUGCCUCAUAGGAGACGGGUGCUGGAAUGCUCUGUCUCCGAAAGGUCCGCCGCCUGAGGAUGAGUCUGCGUCCGAUUAGGUUGUUGUUGGGGUAACGGCCCAACAAGCCUUUGAUCGGUACGGGUUGUGGGAGCAAGAGCCCGGAGAUGGAUUCUGAGACAUGAAUCCAGGCCCUACGGGGCGCAGCAGGCGCGAAAACUUUACAAUGCGAGCAAUCGUGAUAAGGAAACCCUGAGUGCCUGUCAAUGCAGGCUGUUCUGGUGUCUAACACACACCAGGAGAAAGGGCGGGGCAAGACCGGUGCCAGCCGCCGCGGUAAUACCGGCUGCUCGAGUGAUAGCCACUUUUACUGGGCUUAAAGCGUUCGUAGCUUGGUCGUUAAGUCUCUGGGGAAAUCUUUUGGCUCAACCAAAAGGCGUCUCAGGGAAACUGACGAUCUUGGAACCGGGAGAGGUAAGACGUACUUCGGGGGUAGGAGUGAAAUCUUGUAAUCCCCGAGGGACGACCGAUGGCGAAGGCAUCUUACCAGAACGGCUUCGACAGUGAGGGACGAAAGCUGGGGGAGCAAACCGGAUUAGAUACCCGGGUAGUCCCAGCCGUAAACGAUGUGCGUUAGGUGUGUCAGUGACCACGAGUCGCUGAGGUGCCGAAGGGAAACCGUGAAACGCACCGCCUGGGAAGUACGGUCGCAAGGCUGAAACUUAAAGGAAUUGGCGGGGGAGCAYCACAWCGGGUGGAGCCUGCGGUUUAAUUG
rnacentral:rRNA from 1 species